rnacentral:rRNA from 1 species
UAAAGGAAUUGGCGGGGGAGCACCACAAGGGGUGAAGCCUGCGGUUUAAUUAGACUCAACGCUCGGAAACUUACCAGGGGCGACAGCUCAAUGACGGUCAGACUGACGAUCAUACCUGAGUAGCUGAGAGGAGGUGCAUGGCCGUCGCCAGUUCGUGCCGUGAGGUGUCCAGUUAAGUCUGGCAACGAACGAGACCCGUGCCCUUAGUUGCCAGCAAGAGGUUACGACCUCGUUGGGAACACUAAGGGGUCUGCCGCUGAUAAAGCGGAUGAAGGAGCGGGCCACGGCAGGUCAGUAUGCCCCGAAUCCCCCGGGCCACACGCGGGCUGCAAUGGCCGGGACAAUGGGUACCGACCCCGAAAGGGGUAGGUAAUCCCCUAAACCUGGCCUUACCUGGGAUCGAGGGCUGCAACUCGCCCUCGUGAACCUGGAAUCCGUAGUAAUCGCGCCUCAAAAUGGCGCGGUGAAUACGUCCCUGCUCCUUGCACACACCGCCA